rnacentral:tRNA from 1 species
GCCGCUGUAGCUCAGCAUGGUAGAGCAAAUUCAAAGACUAGUUUCUUUGGAGCUUAACUGGCUGUUAACCAGUGGGCCAUCAGUUCAAGUCUGAUCAGCGGCG